rnacentral:rRNA from 1 species
UACGUAGGGUGCAAGCGUUGUCCGGAAUUAUUGGGCGUAAAGAGCUCGUAGGCGGUCUGUCGCGUCGAAUGUGAAAAUCCGAGGCUCAACCUCGGACCUGCAUUCGAUACGGGCAGACUAGAGUUCGGUAGGGGAGACUGGAAUUCCUGGUGUAGCGGUGAAAUGCGCAGAUAUCAGGAGGAACACCGGUGGCGAAGGCGGGACUCUGGGCCGAUACUGACGCUGAGAAGCGAAAGCAUGGGGAGCGAACAGG